CUCAGGCCAAGAAGCUCUCUUCUUCCUCUUCCGCCAUGGUUUCCAGCAGAGUGAGAGAGGAGAAGGCCAAGCAGUCAGAGGAGUCUCUGAGGACUGUCAUGUACUUGAGCUGCUGGGGACCCAACUGAAGAAGAAGAUAUGAAGAUGGAUGAUCAUCAGCCUGCUCUUGAAGCAUCCAGGGAGGGCAUAUUCCAAGAAAGUAACGGAAAAUUGAGAUGAAGAAACUGCAGUGAAGCAAUUUCAUGGAAUUUUUGCUUGGAGACUCACGAAUUACAACCAAUUGCUCAGGGUUGGGAAAAUUGGAAUUGGCGUAAAUUGUGACUGGGUCUUUGUAAAACCCACAUCAUUUAGCUAGAAAAGCUUUGAAAAUACAUUUUAAUUUAAUUUAUAAUUUCUAUGUUAGAAUAUUAGACCCAAUUCCUAAAAAGCUUGUCAGCCUUGUAUAUAUGGCUAAGCAGGUCAACUUCCCAAGCUCAAGCGCAUUAAGAAAUUCUCAAACCUACCUUUUUUUUAUAGGAUUUUUGGGAAGUUUUACAGCAAUUGAAAACAAAUCUUAAAAGGGUCGGGAAAUUAUUUGAAAAAAUAUGGCAGAUUUGGUCACAUAGGGGAUAAAGAGGUGAUAAAGUUGGUACAACGCCCAAAAUUAAACUCUCAAUUAAUUUAAUUGAACAAAUAAUCAUAAAAGAGAUUUUUUUAAUUUAUGAUUUUUAUUUUUUUAUUUAUACUUUUUGAAAAAGAAAAUUCCAGUGAAAUAUGUUCGUGUAGACUGUGUGGCAGGAUGCAGACUAAACAAAGAAAUUGACACGUGCUUGAAGUCCGGCCCUACACAUAGCCCCAUUGGAAAACAGCGGUUUCAUCCUCCGUACUCUUUGGGCGUUAAGUGGGUUCACAAACCAAACAAUGGGCUGCCCCAACACAGCAACACUUAGACUGAGGACAAACUAUGUAGGUGAAUACCCAAUUAUACCCACAUGAAUCAGUGGUCAAUCUUUCAAAUAUAAGGACAGAGUAGUCAUUCCAAUUCAAAUCAAACAAAGUUAUGAGAACUGCUGGCCACAGCCUCUGGUUUCCCCAAAACUUUGGGCACUAUUCCUCAAAGAAUCAAGUGGGCUAGAGUUAAUAACUUCGUCCACCAUGGUUAGAUUACUGGGGGCUAGAGUUAAUAACUUCAUCCACCAUGGUUAGAUUAUUGGUAUCUCGAUGGGAGAAGUUGUUUUGACGGUAAAACAUUGUAUUUUAUUAUUUUGUAAAUUUUAUCAUCACUCAUAUAUAUUAUUUUUUAUUUAAAAUUAAAUAAAAAAUUAAAAUUCUUAGAAAAUGCGAAACAAAAGUAUAUCACAACUUAUAUUAAUUAAACGUCUUUAUUUUCUAUUCUAAAAUUAAAAAACAAAAUUAAAAUUAUCAAGAAAAAAGUACAUUCCAACUUACAUUAAUCAAGGGAUGAUAUACUGUACAAAUAAAAAAUAAUAAAAAUAAUUAAAGGUUAAAUAAAUCGCUUAAUAAAUUGAUAGUAUGGGUUGAUGGUUUCAUUAUAAGACCAUAACAAGGAUUUUCUUUUUCUUUUUCUUUUUAAAUGCAUUUCACGGUGGUGUAGAAUUUUUUUGUAUAAGGGUUUUUAAAUUAUAAUAUUGAUUAUAUAUAUAGGUGUGUUUUGUCCUAAAUUCCGAUUUCCAAGUUUCCAACAUUAUAUAAAAAUCCCUAAAAUCAUCUACUUCGUAAGUUUUCUAACAUUAUAUAAAAAGCCCUGAAUUCACUUAUUAGGAAAAUGCUAUUUGGUGCACUACCAUCACCAUGACCUCAACCUCGUGUAAAGAUAUCAAGUGGUUACUAAUAAUAAAAAAUAAAUAAUAAAAACAAAAUGUAUUCAUUAUUAUUAUUAUUAUUAUUUUGUACUUUUACCAUCCAUUGUUCACAUCUUAGCAUAUGGUAGAAAAGAUGAUAAAUGAUUAUUUAUGUCAUAAUUUUUAAGUGAAGUGAUCAAAAUAUUUAAAGAAAAAAUUAAUAAUUGAUGAAUAAUUUUUGGUAAAUUUAUAAAUUUGUAAUAAAUAUUAAUAAAUGAUAAACAAAGUAGUUUUUAAAGCGGUUGUAGUAGUUAAACAUUAUAUCUCAUUAUGAUUUUCCACCUUCAAAACUUAAUAAUAAAAUUUCAUAACAAAUUUUUAUCUAUUUAAAACUUUUGAAAUGUGAAAUCUUUUCUUGGACAUCUUUAUAUAUACAUUUGUGAAUUUUCUCUUUAUUUGCUAUUUAUAAAAUUAAAGGAUAAAGUUAAAAUGUUAAAAAUAAAAGAGAAGUAUAUCCCAACUUACAUCAAUUAAGAGAAGAUAUAUUAAGCACAUGAAGAAUGCAAAAAAAAAUUAAUGAUAAAAUAAAUCACUUAUUAGUUAGUAUUUAAUGAUUUACAUUAUUAGAUUGUAGCGAUGAGUUAUAUUUUUAUUUUUGUGUAUAGGUGAUUUUAAAUUAUAAUAUUUUUUAUUUUAUUUUUGAGUUAGUUUUCUUUGUUGAUACAUAGGUUUUUUUUUUUUUUUUUGUCUUGGAUAUUGUGUUAUCUACAGUUUUAAAAGAAAUAAAAAUUAUUUAUCCCACAUUGAUUCAAAACUAAAAAUAUUAUAUAUAUAUUUGUUAAAACUUUGAUACCCUUAAAAAAUACAAGUACAACCAAUAAGCAGGCAUAGGGAUGGCAACGGGGUAGGUAUGGGACGGGCCACCCCUACCCCAUUUCCAUCCCGGUUAUAUAUUUUUUUUUCCAUCCCCGUCCCAAACCCAGGGCGGGGCGAGUUGGUGUCUCCUAUGCCCAUUUACAAAAGAGCUGAUAAUCUCAUCCCCAUCCCAAAUGUAUUUUCGGGAAUUAUGCUUUUACAGAACAUGGGUCUCUGAAAUUUCAAUAAACGUUAUAUGGGUUAUCAUAAACACAUUUAAUCAAGCAUUUGUUGUGCAACAAAACUGCAAACUGCACACAUGAGAACAAAAUGCACAGAUCUACAAAUAAACAACCCAAAAAAUCUCAAAUCCAUCAACCAAACCAGAAAAUAUGAAAAACAAGACAUUUCUAACAAAGCCUCAAAACUUAGGGUUUUCUUACCUGGAAAUGAGGAAUCCAUAGAAACCCUAAUAAUUUGUUGUCUACGAAUUUGGUAUUUUGGUUUUCAAAGCAAAAAAUGUGCUUUUAGGGUGAAACGGGAAGAAACAAUUUAGGAAUAAAUGAGAAAACGAGAAGAAAUGAGAAAACAAAAGCCCUAUUACGAGCAAAAGAACCCUGAGCAAUUUAGGAAGAAAUGAGAAAACGGGAAGAAAUGAGAAAACAAAAAGCCUCUUACGAGCAAAAGAAUCCUAAGCAAUUUAGGAAGAAAUGAGAAAACUAGAAGAAAUGAGAAUGAAAGCCCUCUGAGAGCGAAAACCCUCUAAGAGUGAAAGCCCUCUGACUCUCUCACGAGUGAAAUAACCCUAAAAUUUGAGGAAGAAAUGAUUAUAUAUGGAGGACUUUUUGGGUAUUUUGUAAUGACAUAAGGGUAAAUCGGUAAUUCACAUACGGGAUGGGGCGGAAACUGCAAAACCCAUCCCUGCCCUGAACCCGAUUUGGGUUUUUAUAUAUUCCCCAAACCCGUUCUAUACCCGAAUAAAAUAUUCCCAUACCCGUCCCAAUAGGGGCGGGUGACCCGAAUUACUCGGAAAAUUACCAUUCCUAAGCAAGCAUUGAGCUAAAUCCUAAUCUCACAUUCUUGCUCGAAACUUUACACUCAAAUAAAAACAAUUCACCACUUGACUCGAGGGACUAUUCCGUAACUUCUCACUACCAACAACCAGGCACUAUUCGACCUCUCGCUCGCUUAUAAAUUCACUCCCUACUUGCAUAUUCAAAGCGUAUCUCACUACCAUUCUACUCUACUAUUCUACUUUUCGCGGUUUCAUAUCUCACUACUAUUCGCGUGUUCAAAGUGUGCAUAUUCAAAGUGUAUCCCUCCUUGAAUUAAUUGUGAAUUAAUUUAGGCUUCAAAGUGUGUUGCUCUACAAUAUCCUUCCUAGUCAGGCUUCAAAGUAAGAGCAACAACAUCUACAAUAUCUACCAUGGCCACACAACCAAGGUAUGCGGUAUGCCGCCUUUUCUCAUGUCCUUUUCCCAUUUUGUUCCCUCUUUUCAUCUCCAUUUUGUUUUCAAUAUUCUCUUACCUUACUCAUAUUCUCUAAAAUUAGAUAAAAUUAUUAAUUUGAUCAUAUUUAUCUAACAUUUUUAAUUAGUACUACUAGUAUCUUAUUUUCAUAAAUCUAAUUGAAUUUUCUACUUAUUUAUUUAUUGUUUUCAUGACAGAACUUCACCAGCUUUCAUAUCUUUCCUUACAAUUUUGAGUUCAGUUGUCCUUGCGAAGUACCAAUAUGAGAAUGUUUCCCCAUUUUCCCAACACAACAUAGGUAUGCAAAUCUCCUUAUUUGCAUCAUUUAUAUAUUUCAUGAUGGUUGUGGUUUAUGAAAUCCUUGAUUCUGAUGGAACUGUCAAAGUUGAAGAAGAUGGAAGAUAUCUCCUUAUUUUGGGCCUGUUCGGUUCUUAAGUGGAACAGCAGCUGCAACUUUGUUGAUCCUGAUCUUGAUCCCAUAUCUUGGAUGGUUCCUUUUGGUCAUGUAGACCAUGUUCUUAGUGAAAAUAGCAUGCUAUUGGGAUAAAACAUUUUAUAACUUUGACAUGUUCAAGAAUAAAAAAAAAUGCCAAUGAUAGGGAAGGAAGACAAGAGGAGCAGCGACGCCAAGUUUAGAGUAGGUUUGGUCCAACAGAGGUUAUUAGCAAAAAACAUAUUUUCUUCUUGUACUUUCGAAAGUGUUAUAUAAGUGUUAUAUUUUGAGUAAUGAGAGUAUUUUUUUCCUUUUUUCUUUUUCUCUAAUACAUUAUUGGUGAUUAUUCUUCAUCGGAAUACCCACAAGGUUAUUAGAUGUUUAAUUGCAAAUAUGGUUUUAUAUGAUAGCAUUAUGAUUGAACUAAUAAAACAUAUUUUUUUGCAUAUUGUUUAGCUGGACUUCCCAACUACCUCUGGGUAAUAUCCUUUUAACAUAGGAAGUAUAAACUAAUAGCAAGUGCUAAUCUUUCCCAUUCUUACACAAGAAAGAACUAAGGAAAAAGGUAUACUUAGAAGUUGCAUUUCUAUGUUCCCAAACAAUAGAAAAUUCAAUAUAUGGCACUUCACUCUCUACUUUUCUUUCCCACCUUUUCUCAUAACCCAAAUAUGCUCACCUCUCAUUCCAAGAUCCAACCAAAAUUGAAAAACAAUUACAAAAAUCCUAGUAGAAGAGACAGAUCAUACUACAAUUACACUUUCUUACAAGAAAUUGAAGUGCAAAAGGAAUAACAAUUGAGUGAAACAAAUAAAACCAACCCCCUUUACCACACCUACUAAUGAAAUACUUGCAGAGACACUUUAAAUUUCUCCAGACUCCAAGAGAUACUGAUCAACAGCCUCGACACCUGCAGUGAUGAGACCAACACUUGAUACGAUAUAAUGCACAAACUCGACACGGAAUUGGUAAGACUUGGUUAGAUUACAGAAAAAUUUUCAAACAUUAUAUUUUUCUUUCCAAUCACAACAAAACAUCAAAAUAUUUUCAAAAAUAAAAAUUAGAGAUUCCCUCUUCAAAAGAAGACACCCAUGAUUCUGAAAUUGGAGCUUUUAACCCAGAAGAUCAAAGAAGACAAAGAAGAAAAAACCCAACCCCUAACCCAUUCGGAAAUAAGAGGAGAAACCAUCAAAGAAUGAGGGCAUGAGUUAGGAUUUACUUACCUGAUUUUCCUAAAAAUCGAGAAUCACCAAAGGUGGAGGUUUGGUGUCGGCGGUGGUAACUCGUCAAGUGGACUGAAUCUUACAAUGACGACGUCGGCUAGGCAACCCCCUCACAGUCAGAUUGCUCUCCCUCCGGGGUCUUGCAUAGUUGCAAAUUUGCAAUUGCAGGUGGUGUCAUCUAUCGGCGGUCUUGACAGCAACGGUGGUGUGCGAGGUGUGGGAGAUUGGGAGUCCAAAUUGGUAAAGUAACAAAUGCAUUUUAUAUGGAUUUACGUUGAUGAUAUGAGAUAGGAUUUGAUGGUAACAUAUUAAAUUAAAUUAAACGAUUGAGUCCAAAAUGAUACGGAUGGUAUGAGAUGGGAUUUAAUGAAAAAUUAAAUGUAUUUAUAUGGAAAAUUGAGAAUUAAAUCCCCAAUUCUUAGUAUUAUUAUAAAUAGGUGAAAAAAUUUUGUUUUAUUAAAUUUUUAAGCUUAUUUAAUUUCUAUAUAUUUUUUUAUAUAUAAUUUACAUAACAUUUUUAUAAUUUUUUGAAAAUUUUAAUUAUCUUAUUUUGCGUAUUGCUUGAUAUUGAAUCAAAAUGUCGAGACCAACAUAUCUCGGGAUCAUUUGAGUCAAUGAUCGAUAUCACAACUUUGAACCAUGCUCGUCUCCAAUCCCUCAACAAUGAUGAAAAAUGAGGGCAACACAAUUACCUUUUUUAUUAUUAUCAGUUCAAAAUAAUACGUGUAUUAUAAUAUAAUUUUUAAAAAAUAUUUUACAAAAAAAUAUAUGUGGACCCCGCAUUUAGGCUCAUGCACUUCCACUCGAUGGCGAGCUCGAUUUUAUUUUGAAAAUGAUUUUAUUUAUUAGAAAAUGACUUGGAGUCGCUACUUAUUUUUGUUUUAUUUUUAAAGGGUAAACAAAAUAAGAAAGAAAACCCUAAGUGUGACUCCUUAUUUUGGAAAAGGUGGUCUGUGAAAAAUGGGAUCGAGUUCGGGGGCUAGGUUACUUAUCGGGAAGGUACGGUAAAGACCGUAGCACCCCUUUAACUCCCCAAAGUCGGGUCUUUACUAAUAAAAUGAAGUUGACGCGACAAUCAAUAAUAAAAACAAUGAAUAUCGACAUGAUCACAUAUUGAAAACCAAAACAUAUAAGGAUGAUGGUUAGAGUGAGAAAAAAUGCGUACCUAAUCAGCAAGCGGCAACGCGCUAUCAUAAAAUGAGGUUAGUGCACAAAUAAUGGACAUAAAACAUAGCUCACAUGCCACUGAAUCGAGUACAAAAUCAUCAGAUAUCACAAUUAAGUCAAAUUUAUUUUUCGAGGAAACAAUCAUUGAUGUUGGGCCUCCACCAAAACCCAAUUUAUUCCUGCAUGAAUUAAUUCCGUAAAUUCCAUCACUUGGAAUUAUAGAAUUUAAUUCACACUUAUUUUUAAAACGUUUUAGAAUUCAUGGAAGUUAUGGAAAUCCAUGCCGAAGAAAAUGACAACAAAAUUUUAUUAAAAAUGUGAUUUUUGGGACUUGAAAGCUCUAAGAAUGAAGAAUCUGGAAAAUAAUGCGAAAAAAAUGAGAUUUGGAAAAAAAUAUUUUUUUAAACCAAGAAUGGUGAAAAUGAGAAGAGAAAAAAAAAGUGACACGUGGCAUAAGGGUGGCCAUGCACCAUUUCAAACAAAUCUAACCCCACUUGCUUUUAUUUGAUCCUGAUCUUGAUCCCAUAUUUUGGAUGGUUCCUUCUGGUCAUGUGGACUUCUUAGUGAAAAUAGCAUGCUAUUGGGAUAAAACAUUUUAUAACUUUGACAUGUUUAAGAAUAAAAAAAAUGUCAAUGAUAGGGAAGGAGGACAAGAGGUGUAGCGACGCCAAGUUUAGAGUAGGUUUAGUCCAAUAGAGGUUAUUAGCAAAAAAACAUAUUUUCUUCUUGUACUUUUGAAAGUGUUCUAUUUUGAAUAAUGAGAGUAUUUUUUUUCCUUUUUUUUUUCUCUAAUACAUUAUUGGUGAAUAAGUGUUCUAUUUUGAAUAAUGAGAGUAUUUUUUUUCCUUUUUUUUUUUUCUCUAAUACAUUAUUGGUGAAUAAGUGUUCUAUUUUGAAUAAUGAGAGUAUUUUUUUUUCUUUUUUUUUUCUCUAAUACAUUAUUGGUGAUUAUUCUUCGCGGAAAUACCCACAAGGCUAUUAGAUGUUUCAUUGCAAAUAUGGUUUUACAUGAUAGCAUUACGAUUGAACUAAUAAAACAUAUUUUCUACAUAUUGUUUAGCUGGACCUCCCAACUACCUCUGGAUAAUAUCCUCUUAACAUAGGAAGUAUAAACUAAUAGCAAGUGCUAAUCUUUCCCAUUCUUACACAAGAAAGAACCAAGGAAAAGGUAUACUUAGAAGUUGCAUUUUUAUGUUCCUAAACAAUAGAAAAUUCAAUAUAUGGCACUUCACUCUCUACUUUUCUUUCCCACCUUUUCUCAUAACCCAAAUAUGCUCACCUCUCAUUCCAAGAUCCAACCAAAAUUGAAAAACAAUUACUAUUACAAUUACACUUUCUUUCAAGAAAUUGAAGUGUAGAAGGUAUAAUAAUUGAGUGAAACAAAUAAAAACCAACCUCCUUUAACACACCUGCUAAUGAAAUACUUGUAGAAACACUUUAAAUUUCUCCAGACUCCAAGAGAUACUGAUCAACAGCCUCGGCACCUACAGCAAUGAGACCAACACCUGAUACGAUAUAAUGCACAAACUUGGCAUGGAAUCGGUAAGACUCGGUUAGAUUAUAGAAAAAUUUUCAAACAUUCUCUUUUUCUUUCCAAUCAUAAUAAAACAUCAUAAUAUUUUCAAAAAUAAAAAUCAGAGAUUCCUCUUUCAAAAGCAAACACCCAUGAUUCUGAAAUUGGAGCUUUCAACCCAGAAGAUCAAAGAAGACGAAGAAGAAAAAACCCAACCCUUAACUCGUUCGGAAAUCAGAGGAGAAACCACCGAAGGAUGAGGGCAAGAUUUAGGAUUUACUUACCGAUUUUCCUAAAAAUCAAGAAUCAUCAGAGGGUGGAGGUUUGGUGUCGGCGGUGGUAACUCGUCAAGUGGACUGAAUCUUACAACGGCGAGGUCGGCUAGGCAACCCCCUCACAGUCAGAUUGCUCCCCCUCUAGGGUCUUGCAUAGUUGCAAAUUUGCAAUUGCAGGUGGUGUCAUCUAUCGGCGGUCUUGACAACAACGGUGGUGUGCGAGGUGUGGGAGAUUGGGAGCCCAAAUUGGUAAAGUAAAAAAUGCAUUUUAUAUGGAUUUACAUUGAUGAUAUGAGAUAGGAUUUGAUGGUAACAUAUUAAAUUAAAUUAAAUGAUUGAGUCCAAAAUGAUAUGGAUGGUAUGAGAUGGGAUUUAAUGAAAAAUUAAAUGUAUUUAUAUGACAGAUUAAGAAUUAAAUCCCCAAUUCUUAGUAUUAUUAUAAAUAGGUGAAAUUUUUUUGUUUUAUUAAAAUUUUAAGCUUAUUUAAUUUCUAUAUAUAAUUUACGUAAUAUUUUUAUAAUUUUUUGAAAUUUCUAAUUAUCUUAUUUUGCGUAUUACUUGAUACCGAAUCAAGAUGUCAAGACCAGCAUAUCUCGGGAUCAUCUGAAUCAAUGAUCGAUAUCGCGACAUUGAACCAUACUCAUCUCCAAUCCCUCAAUAGUGAUGAAAAAUGAGGCCAACGCAGUUGCCUUUUUUAUUAUUAUAAGUUAAAAAUAGUCAUGUAUUAUAAUAUAAUUUUAAAAAAAUAUUUUUACAAAAAAAAUACAAUAAAGAAAAUUUUAAAUAAAAGAGUUUACAAUAACUUUCUAUAUUAAUAAAUUAAUAAUGAAUCUAUAUCCAUGUAUUAUCGAGAAUAAAUAAGUUUAUAUUUAUAUAUUUUUAUUAUAAAUUUAUAUUGACACAUAUCCUUGAUUUCCCUCAAGGUUUUAUUUUUAAUUGAUUACAAAGCAUUAGUACUUGUUUAAUAAAAAAUGUAUUAAAUAAAUAUUAAUAUUAUAUAAAUAAAUAAAAGUUGAAUUUGAAUAAAACUUAUAUAUAUAUAUCAUAUUCAACAUGAAUAUGAAUCUAUUAUUAAAGAUACAUGGUAAUAAGUGUUAAUAUUAUAUAAUCAAAUGAGAGAGUACAAAAAUGUUCUAUUAUUAUAAUAAUAAGAUAUUUAAUAUCAUGCAAAUAAAUAAAAGUCACCAUAAAUUUAAAUUUGAAUUUAUAUUUUUAAACCCUUCAAAUUUUUAUUUUUAUUUUUAAAUUUUAAGAAUUUUUUCUCCACUUCAAAUAGCAAUAAUAGUGUUUAUUCAUACUAGUUAUACUUAAAAUUGAUGAAAAUUAUGAAAAAAAAAAAAGAAAUAAAAACCCAUACCCUUCAAAUUUGCAUUUGUUUUAAUUUUAAGAUUUUUUUUCUCUACUUCAAGUAAUAAUAAUAAUAAUGUUUAUUCAUACUAAUAACAAUAAAAUUAAUGAAAAUGAUGAAAAAUAAAAAAUAAAUAGUAAAAACUUCAAAUUUGUAAUAAUAAUAAUGUUUAUUCAUACUAAUAAACAAUUCUUCAUAAUCAUAACCUACUAAUUUCCAACAAUUAUAAUUGAAAUUAUUUUGAAUAAACAAUGUAAUUUGUAUUUGAAGUUGAAAAAAAUUGUGAAAAUUAAAUGGGAAGGGUAGGGUUUUAAUUUUAUUUUAUUUUUUUUACUUUUUACCUCAUAAAUUUUUUAUUUUUUUAUUUUUAUUUAUUUAUGAAUUCUAAGUGAAAUUAUUAUGAAUCAACAAUUUUAUUGAUAUUUAAAGUUAAAAAAAAUCUAUGAAUUUUAAAUAAAUUUUGGAAGGUAUUUGUAAUGGGGUAUUUUUAUUUGCACUUUCCUAUUAUGUUGAAACAUUGUUUGGUUUCAAAAUUGUUUAUUCAAAAUAAUUUCAAUUAUUAUUAUUGGAAAUUAGGAGGUUAUGAUUAUGAAGAAUUGUUUAUUAGUAUGAAUAAACAUUAUUAUUAUUAUUAUUAUUAUUAUUAUUAUUAUUUGAAGUAGAGAAAAAAUUCAUAAUGCAUAGGGAGAUCACAGAUUCUAUGGAUUCAACAAUUGAUAAGCCUACUUGUUUAUAUUAUUGUCCUUAACCAGCUAUCCCAUUUUUUAAUUUACUUUUGGUGCAUUUAGUUUGUAACUUAUCUUAUGUUUUACUUAUUUUCAAUUUUUUAAGGUUUAGAUAGUUUUUUUUUUCUAAAAAAAAAAAAAAACCUCUUUUGAGCCAUAACUUGAUUCUCUUGCUAUUCUUAUUUUUAACCAUUUUUUCAAUGAGAAAUUAGGUCUUUUGGCGGAAUUGUGGGAAGUGGAUUGAAUCGGGAAAUUUAUUUGGUCCAGAUUGUGUUUCACUAGAGUCCUAAGAGAUGCAGCUAAGUGAGCUUAUAAUAAAAAGGUAGGCAUGUAAACGAACCAUGCUAGUCCGGGCCAUUCUUAGCUUGGCCUAGUGGGCCUUCAAAAUUGCUCCAACAUGAAUUUCAACGUGAACUUCAGUUUUUAAAAUUAAUAAUUAUACAUUUGUUUUAACUAUUUAUAACAAAUAUUAUCUUUGAAAAGUAAAUUUCAAUUAAUUUUUAUAUUUAAAUAAAAAUUAUUAUUAUUUUAAUUAUUUGUAUCCAAAUCAUACCCGAUAUAUUUGAUUUAUCUUACAAUGUUUCAACAUAAUAGGAAAGUGCAAAUAAAAAUACCCCAUUACAAAUACCUUCCAAAAUUUAUUUAAAAUUCACAUAUAUAUAUAUAUAUAUAUAUAUAUAUAUAUAUAUGAAUUUUAAAUAUCAAUAAAAUUGUUGAUUCAUAAUAAUUUCACUUAGAAUUCAUAAAAAAAAUAUGAGGAAAAAAAAUUAAAAUAAAAAAUUUUAAGAUCCCUACCCUUCCCAUUUAAUUUUAACAAUUUUUUUUUCUGAGCAUUGAUUUGUUGAUCGGUUAUUAAGGGCCACUCAUUUGCUUUGUUGGAUCUAACUCUCUGUAUGCAUGCUCUGUUUUGGCUUUGUUUUUUUUUUUUUUUUUUUAUCUUUGCUUUCUCUUGUAAAUAUCUGAUGCAUUGUUCCUUCUCUGAACUUGAGAUAUAAAAAUCAUGCUCUUGUUCCUUGUGGAUUCCACCUUCUCCUAGCUCUUUGACAAUCCAUGAAAUAGAGCUAAGUUCAUACUUUAUUUUUAUGUUUUUAUUCUUUUUUGUUUGUUGUUGAUGGUGGGAUGAUAUUAUCAAUGGCCAAGUUGCUAGGAUUAGAGGAGUGAGGUUAUGGGGAAGUGAACUUAAUGGAGGAUUUCCGUGAUCAUAUCCAUGCUCCAAUAUAUUGGUUCCCAAUGUUGGCCACGGGACUGUAUUGAAGUUUUGGUAUUUGGGAUCACUUUGCCUUCUGGGUUCAGUAAGCAACACAGUGGCAAUAAAGAUGCUUUGGUGUUAUUAAUUUGGGUGAAUAAGUUGGUUGUAUGAAUUGUGAAAGUUCAGGUUGUGCUUUGAGGAGAGUAUAUCUUGCAUCCUACUAUUUUAAUUAUUAAUUUUGGAUGUUGAAAUAUGAUGUGAUUGCACUUCAUAUGCAUCAUAGUUGUGUGAAGAAAAAGAAAGAUUAAAGAACUGGUUGUGUGAAAUGGAAAUAAGAAUGGAAAAACCUUGGAGAUGGCAAAAAUGAAAAGAAAAGAAAAAAAAAAAAAAUGCAAUGACCCUAGAGAGAGCGAAUUAAGAAGGGAGUGAAAUCCCUAGGGUGAAAGACCCAAAAGUUUACUUCGGGAAGACUUCGAAUGAGGAGUAUAUUUAGGUACAGACGUGUAUCCUUUGGUGAAAGCCCGAGAAUGACAGUGCAUUGUGUGAUUGUGAGAUUGUGUGUAAGCAUUUGCAUCAUAAUUGCAUUUGGAAGAAGGAUUUGUAUUAUUUAUCAAGUGUAUAUUUGAAUAUAUUAUUCAAAACUAAAAUGACUUGUUUAUUUUGUAAAUUUAGAAUUGUUAAUAUACUAAACAUGAUUGAAUAAGGAAAAUGAUAAUUUUGAUUGUUUUAAAUUUGUAUGGUUAGGGUUUCUUUCAGUGUAUAUAUUGUAAAUGUAAUAUUAUAUCUUGGCAUAUGGUUGUGUUAUUGACCUAGAAUUUCUAACCUAUUUGGGUGUAAAACAUCCUACUGAGCAACGUGGAAAUGCUCACCCUUUUAUUUUUUAAAAUUUUUAGAUGUAAAUAUAGUUUUAGAGGGACCACAAAAAGUUCAAGAAGCGUUUUAGAAAGCAAAAGAACCAUAAUAAGAGUUGUUUUUAAAUUUAUAUUUCUCUUCUUAUACGUACCAAUUUGAGUUAUAUGGGCUUUUGUAUGUUAAAUUAUAUUUGUUAGGUUGUAAAAUAUUUUUGGAAAUAUCCUUUUUGAUUUAGAGAUUAUUGUAAAUAUUUGUGUUUUUGGGCAGGAAGAUGACUAAUGGAUUUAUUAUACUUGUGAAUAAGAGAUAAUGUGAUGGUUGGUUUUAAAAAAAUAAAAUAAUAUGUUAUAAUAAAUCUUAGUUUAAUAAGUUUAUUUAAGAUUACACGUUUUACUAUAAAAAAAAUAAAAAAUUUCAAAGUGUUUUGAUUGAUUGACAACGUAGAUAAGAAUUACCCGGAUCAAACUCUUGACCUGGGCCAACUAUGUUGGUGAAUACCCAAUUAUACCCACAUGAAUCAGCCGUCAAUCUUACAAAUCCAAGGGCAAAGUAGUCAUUCCAAUUCAAACCAAAAAAAGCCAUGAUUCAUGAAAACUGCUGGCCACAGCUCCUGGUUUUUGCCAAACUUUGGGCACCAAAUCCAAACCCAUCUCUUUGCUAUAUAACCAACCCACCUUCACUUCUUCAUCACAACACAACUACCUUGAUUUACAGAGAGAUCUUCUAUAUCCAUUCACUACUCAGAAUCACCUCUUUUUUUUGUUGAUUGUUGUUUGGGUUUUGGAGAAAGAAAAUUAAGAAGAUGAGUCAUAUGGGGAAAGCUUGGAUAGUGGCAGCAAGUGUGGGAGCAGUGGAGGCACUCAAGGAUCAGGGCUUCUGCAGAUGGAACUACACUCUGAGGUCUAUUCACCAGCAUGCCAAGACCAACCUCAGGUCCUUUACUCAGGCCAAGAAGCUCUCUUCUUCCUCUUCUGCCAUGGUUUCCAGUAGAGUGAGAGACGAGAAGGCCAAGCAGUCAGAGGAGUCUCUGAGGACUGUCAUGUACUUGAGCUGCUGGGGACCCAACUGAAGAAGAAGAUAUGAAGAUGGAUGAUCAUCAGCCUGCUCUUGAAGCAACCAGGGAGGGCAUAUUCCAAGAAACUUAUGGAAAAUUGAGAUGAAGAAACUGCAGUGAAGCAAUUUUCUUGGAAUUUUUGCUUGGAGACUCACGAAUUACAACCAAUUGCUCAGGGUUGGGAAAAUUGGAAUUGCUGUGAAUUGUGACUGGGUCUUUGUAAAACCCACAUCAUUUAGCUAGAAAAGCUUUGAAAAUACAUUUUUAUUUAAUUUAUAAUUUCUAUGUUAGAAUAUUAGACCUGAUUCCUAAAAAGCUUAUCAGCCUUGUAUUAGACCCAAGCUCAAGCGCAUUAAGAAAAAAUAUGGCAGAUUUUGUCAUAUAGGGGAUAAAGAGGUGAUAAAGUAGAUACAACUCCCAAAAUUAAACUCUCAAUUAAUUUAAUUGAACAAAUAAUCAUAAAAGAGAUUUUUUAAAUUUAUGAUUUUAUUUUUUAAUUUAUACUAUUUGAAAAAGAAAAUUUCAGUGAAAUAUGUUCGUGUAGACUGUGUGGUAGGGUGCAGACUAAACAAAGAAAUGGACACGUGCUUGAAAUCCGGCCCUACACAUUGGCCCUUUGGAAAACAGCGGUUUCAUCCUCCGUACUUUUUGGGCGUUAAGUGGGUUCACAAACCAAACAAUGGGCUGCUAACACUUACACUGAGGACAAGCUAUGUAGGUGAAUACCCAAUUAUAAUACCCACAUGAAUCAGUGGUCAAUCUUACAAAUCUAAGGACAAAGUAGUCAUUCCAAUUCAAACCAAACAAAGAUAUGAAAACUGCUGGCUACAGCCUCUGGUUUUCCCCAAAACUUUGGGCACCAAACCCAUACCCAUCUCUUGCUAUAUAACCAACCCACCUUCAGUUCAUCUUCCUCAUAACAACACAAAACACUUGAUUUAUAGAGAGAUCUUCAAUAUACCAUUCACUACUCAGAAUCAGUUCUUUUACUGUUGAUUUCUGUUUGAGUUUUGGAGAAAGAAAAUUAAGAAGAUGAGUUAUAUGGGGAAAGCUUGGAUAGUGACAGCGAGUGUGGGAGCAGUGGAGGCACUCAAGGACCAGGGCUUCUGCAGAUGGAACUAUGCUAUGAGGUCUAUUCACCAGCACGCCAGGAACAAGCUCAGGUCUUGUUCUCAGGCCCAGAAACUCUCUUCUUCCUCUUCCGCCAUGGCUUCUAGCAGAGUGAGAGAGGAGAAGGCCAAGCAGUCAGAGGAGUCUCUGAGGACUGUCAUGUACUUGAGCUGCUGGGGACCCAACUGAGGAAGAAGCUAUAUAUAUAUAUAUAUAUAUGAAGGUUUUGAUCGUCCUACUAGUGAUGAAGACAGUGGAGGGGAGAGAUUGAUUUCAUGGAAUUUUUGUACAAAGACAUAUACAUGAGGGUGGAAUUGCUGUAAAUUGUAUAGUUUAUUGACGAUGGCUCUAUGAAAUA
rnacentral:lncRNA from 1 species